rnacentral:miRNA from 1 species
GGAGGUUGGGAAGGGCAGAG